CCUACGGGAGGCAGCAGUGAGGAAUAUUGGUCAAUGGGCGGAAGCCUGAACCAGCCAAGUCGCGUGAGGGAUGAAGGUGCUAUGGAUCGUAAACCUCUUUUAUAAGGGAAUAAAGUGUGGGACGUGUCCUAUUAUGUAUGUACCUUAUGAAUAAGGAUCGGCUAACUCCGUGCCAGCAGCCGCGGUAAUACGGAGGAUCCGAGCGUUAUCCGGAUUUAUUGGGUUUAAAGGGUGCGUAGGCGGCCUUUUAAGUCAGCGGUUCAAGUCUGUGGCUCAACCAUAGAAUUGCCGUUGAAACUGGGGGGCUUGAGUAUGUUUGAGGCAGGCGGACUGCGUGCUGUAGCGGUGAACUGCUUAGCUAUCACG
rnacentral:rRNA from 1 species